GAUGAAGAACGUAGCGAAAUGCGAUACGUAAUGUGAAUUGCAGAAUUCAGUGAAUCAUCGAGUCUUUGAACGCACAUUGCGCCCCCUGGUAUUCCGGGGGGCAUGCCUGUCCGAGCGUCAUUGCUGCCCUCAAGCGCGGCUUGUGUGUUGGGCCUCCGUCCUCCUCCCGGGGGACGGGCCCGAAAGGCAGCGGCGGCACCGCGUCCGGUCCUCGAGCGUAUGGGGCUUCGUCACCCGCUCUUGUAGGCCCGGCCGGCGCUUGCCGACACAUCAAUCUUUUUUCCAGGUUGACCUCGGAUCAGGUAGUGAUACCCGCUGAACUUAAGCAUAUCAAUAAGCGGAGGA
rnacentral:misc_RNA from 1 species